rnacentral:misc_RNA from 1 species
UCUCCGUUGAUGAACCAGCGGAGGGAUCAUUACAGGACUCGCAAGACUCCUACAACCCUGUGAACUUAACUAUAAGCACGUUGCUUCGGCGGGUGUCUCGGAGGGGGUUCUCCCUCCCCGAGACGCUAAACCCGCCGGCAGCCUACUAUACUCUGUCUCUUUGCGUUGGCAUCUCGAGUACAAUCAAACAAGUUAAAACUUUCAACAACGGAUCUCUUGGUUCUG